rnacentral:lncRNA from 10 species
GAAGAUCAAAGAGUGGAUCCUGGGGUGCCAGGGGAAUCCACCGUCUGCCACCACAAGUGUAAGAAGUGAAUCCUCCAUCACUGGCUUCACAGCUGUGUACACUCUAGAGUUGCAUCAACAGAAAUCACGAUGAGCACGUGGCACAGGAAACUUCUUCUGAGGAUGUCCCAGCCGUUCACAUGGUGACCUGGAAGACUGGGAGGAGGAUAUGCCAGGGCAAACAUCCUCUGAGGAAGCCACAAAUGUUCACAUGAUGAGCGGGGACCCAGCCACACUGGCAAAGAAAUUGGAAGACUCCACCAUUACAGGCGGCCACCAGCAGAUGUCAGCAAGUCCUUCCUCUGCACCUGCAGAAGAAGCAACAGAAAAGACAAAAGUGGAAGCGGAAGAAAACCAGGAAGCCCAGGAAGAAUGUCCUGAACUGUUGGGACAUUUUUAGUUUAUUU